ACACCGUCUGAAGAAUCGCCGUCGCAGCUCACGUACAGAAGUCCCUCUUCUCUUUUCGCUGUGGGGAAAGUCCCCGGAGACACACAGACCGAUGUUCUCGUCCCACCUGCGGAAAGCCCCCGCCCCCAAGCACGGCGGGUCGGGACGAGUGACGGCGGGAACGUACUGCUCGGAGUGCUCGCUACUCCAGCUCCGUCCCGCCAGUCUGUGGCCCGUCGCCUCGCGCGCGCUGCCCAGUGACGGCCCCGCACGCGCGAAGAUACGAGCGCGUGCGUGGUUUGAGCGGCGCGUACAGGCCGGGCACACCCGUUGCUCAUAGACAAAGUUAUGCGAUUGUAGACCGCGGUCAUCAACUCAAUGGGGCUUACUCUCAUUCGGUG
rnacentral:RNase_MRP_RNA from 2 species